UACGUAGGUGGCAAGCGUUGUCCGGAAUUAUUGGGCGUAAAGCGCGUGUAGGCGGCCAGGUAGGUCUGCUGUGAAAACUCGAGGCUCAACCUCGAGAUGUCGGCGGAAACCAUCUGGCUAGAGUCCGGAAGAGGAGAGUGGAAUUCCCGGUGUAGCGGUGAAAUGCGCAGAUAUCGGGAAGAACACCCGUGGCGAAGGCGGCUCUCUGGGACGGUACUGACGCUGAGACGCGAAAGCGUGGGGAGCGAACAGG
rnacentral:rRNA from 1 species